GGAGGAGGAAGAAGAAGAGGAAAGGAGGAAGGCCUUGGAAGAGGAAGAGUCUGAGAGAUUGCAGGUUGAAAAGGAGAAUGAAUGUGAUGAGGAUGAUGAUUGGGAAUAUGUAGAAGAGGGGCCUGCAGAAAUUAUCUGGCUAGGAAAUGAGAUAAUUGUUCGGAAGAAAAGGGUCAGGGUUCCGAAGAAGAGUGCAGAUCAACAGAAUGGAAAUGAGGAUUCUGAUAGACCUAUUUCAAAUCCCCUUCCUCCACAAUCUGAAGCUUU
rnacentral:misc_RNA from 1 species